ensembl:lncRNA
GCAAUUUUAAUAUUAUUUCUGCUUGAUUACAAAUAAGUCACCUGAAGGAUUCCAAACUUGGAUAUUUUAAUAUAGAACUUUUGCCUGCAAGUAUAUAUUUCUAGAGACCCACAACUGUCUGAUUAAUGUCAUUUGAGUGUAAAAAAAGCAAAGUUAUGUUGAGAAUUUGCCAACUCUCUAACCUUUUACUUGAAGUUAAGCUAAUUAUCCACAUCCAUCAAUGAAAUUGCAUUCACGGAAGAGUCCAGUCCAUGGCAUAAAUGAUAGGAACCUCAGAAAAGUCAUUUCUUCUUCAUUAUUUAUGUAAAAACAUGACAUUUCUUAGAAACACAGACCAGCAAACUCUCAGUUUAGUGUUGCUUCCAUUGCUUUCUAUAGUCUUGUUACCAGAGAAUAUUUUUAUGUUCCAGAAUUGCACAGAGGGAAGAGCUGCCUAUUAUGGUUACCACUGUGGCCAUCGAGAAAGGCACACGAUUCCUAGGAUCCCAGCAAUGACCCUCCCUGGAGGAAGAACCCUGGGAGACCCAGCAAAACGGGGUGCCUGGUCUGGCAAACAUCCCCCUGUGCCUCUGGCUUUGCGGUUCAGGACUAGGCCCAGACAUCAUGUCCAGGCAGUGCCAGGCCACCUCACUGCCCCCUUUGAGGUGAGUACAGAAAGCUUUUGGGGGCAAGCAUGAAGCUGGGCCUGAGGCCGACUAUCCCUCCCUGUGUCCUGGAGAGGGGGCCUUGACCCGAGGAGACCCCCAGGGCAUGGCCUGUGGGUGCUGAUGUGGGGAGAGGAGGGUCUGUGGACUGAGGGGGGGCAUUGGCAGGGGACAUUGAGCACCGCGGCUCAGAGUUCUGCUCAGGUCAGUGGGAACCUGGUCAGUGAAGGCCUGGUCAGUAGGGUUCUGGCUAGCAGAGAUCUGGCCAAGUGGCCACUAGGUGACCUCAGGCAGGGUUUGUCCUUGGAGCAUCCUUGCCGCCAUCUGUAGUGGGAAUGAGUCAUGGCAUGCUGGAGGGCUUCUGGGAGGAGGAGGUGAGCAGGUGUGUGAAAUCUAGCCCUGCCACACAGAUCUAGCACUUCACAGCCUAGCUGAGUCCCCUGCUAGGGAGGGGGCCUGCCCUUUGCCCUUUGCCCCCAACUCUCAACCCUCUGCCCCCUAUCCCCCAUCUGCAAUCCCAGGACUGCCCUGGAUGGGGAGGUCUGAGGUUAGGGAGCACCCGUGGAUGCUUCGAUGAUGGCCAUGGGUCCUGCCGGGAGAGACAGUGACAAGGGUGACCCAGUGUCCUGGGUGUACAUGUGAGUAAGGCAGCUGGGCUCAGGCAGAGCAGUGAUACAGGCAUGUACCCGUGUUCACCCACAUACACAUGCAUGCUCACAUGCACAAACACUGCAUGCGCACACGUUGACACUUCAGAGGGUGGAGGGUGCUGACUCUGGGCCCAGCUGACCCAGGCAGGGGCCCAUUGUGAUGGGUGUCAUGACCCCACAGUGUCACUGGUGCUGAGUACUCACCCGCCUGCCCGCCUGCCAUCUCUAUGUCUGGAGCUCUUAGAAACAAGACAUAGAGGUGUCUGGUCCUGAGAAGAGGAAGUUUUGCUAAGCGAGAGACACAGCUGACUCAGCCAACUCAGGUGAGUGUGACCUGCUCUGUUCCCUCCCUGCUGACUUGGUGACAGUCAGUACCUGGUGGGCAGUGCUGGCCUCUGGGCAGGUGCCGAGGAGGGUCAUCCCUGAGCACUCACCAGGUGCCUGUUGUGCACUGACCUGGUGGACUCGGUGGGGUAGGUGCUGUCCUCGAAUGUACCCCAUUCCACAGGUGAGAUGUCUAGGGUCAGAGAGGUGGUGACUGGCCAAGGGACCCAGACAUGACUCUGGGCUGUGCUCUUAGCCCUGCCCUGUACAAGCCCUGACCUCUGUGGCCCCCCUGCCCUAGAUUCCAAAUCUGCCCGGGGUUUUCCGGCCCCUGAUGGGGCAGAGUCUGGCCCUGGAAGAGCCAAGAUCAUGUCAUUGCAUUCCAGCCUGGGCAACAAGAGCAAAACUCCGUCUCAAAAAAGAAAAAAGAAUAUACAGUAUGUUCACAUACUAAAACAGCACGAAAACAUAAAAAUUAACAAAUUAGCCAUAUAUUGAAAGUGAUUAAAAAUUAAAGUGAUUAAAAAUUAAAGAAGCUAUUUAAUUGAAUAUUAUACUGGUCAGCAUUGAAGUUUGCCAAAAUUUAAAGAUUUCAGAUUGCUGAACAUGUAUGUUAAUAAAUUGUAGAUAAGAAUAUGUGUAUUUAUAAAUAUAUUUCAACAGUUUCACUUCCUCAGAAUAGUGUUACUACUCAAGUAUCAAAGAGGCCAAUUGGGUCAUGAACACACGUAGAAGCAUAAAUGCAAUGUUUAUCAUCUAAUCUUCAUGGAAAAAAAUGCUCAAAAACCUAGAGAUGUGAGCAGUAUCAAUAAAAAUUUCUACAAUUUGUCAAGAUUGUUUAAAAUGAUAAGUCUAUUUCCCUGGUUGGUUGUUACUUUUCUGGAAGCCUGAGGAGAGGAGAAGCUGCCAGUGAGGUCCCUGAGGUUACCCAGGCCCUGGAGAGACACAGCA